UAGGGAAUCUUCGGCAAUGGACGAAAGUCUGACCGAGCAACGCCGAGUGAGUGAAGAAGGUUUUCGGAUCGUAAAACUCUGUUGUUAGAGAAGAACAAGGACGUUAGUAACUGAACGUCCCCUGACGGUAUCUAACCAGAAAGCCACGGCUAACUACGUGCCAGCAGCCGCGGUAAUACGUAGGUGGCAAGCGUUGUCCGGAUUUAUUGGGCGUAAAGCGAGCGCAGGCGGUUUCUUAAGUCUGAUGUGAAAGCCCCCGGCUCAACCGGGGAGGGUCAUUGGAAACUGGGAGACUUGAGUGCAGAAGAGGAGAGUGGAAUUCCAUGUGUAGCGGUGAAAUGCGUAGAUAUAUGGAGGAACACCAGUGGCGAAGGCGGCUCUCUGGUCUGUAACUGACGCUGAGGCUCGAAAGCGUGGGGAGCAAACAGG
rnacentral:rRNA from 1 species